GGCCGCCCGCAGGCUGCCGCCCUCCGGAGCCGACCUUCCAGGAGCGGCCCGACUCAUUCAUUCAUGUAUUCGUGCCCCCACCCGGCAGAGGAUACGGGGUGGGGGUGGGGGAGUGAAAGGCAGAACAAAGCUGUCAGCCUGGGGCGAGAGGUCCAGGGGCCAGACGGACGAGAGCCAGGGCGUGGACAUAAGCAGGGAAGGGGGUCCUGGAGGGUCAGGACCUGCAGGAAGUGAGGGAACAAGCCAUACAGCAAACUUGAGGGUAGAACGUUCCAGAAAAAGGGGUGCUCCACGUAGAGGGCACAGGCACAGCGGGCAUGGAGGCCCGUGGGGCAGGCGUGGAGGGGAGGCGGGCGAAUGAAGGGGAUGGGGUCCUGGUCUCAGUGGCCGGCGGUUUCAGGCAGGGGCCAGGCAGCGUGCUGGGCGAAGGAGAUGGACAGCCCGGUAUCUGGGAAGAGAUCAGGCUAUGGGAGGUUACAUGACUUGUCCAAGGUCACACAGCUUGGAAGUGGCCAGACCAGCAUUGGAACCCAAGGGGACUGACGUCAUUGCCUGGAAACACACUCAGGAGACCUAGGGUGAGGUGACCUUGACCGAGACAGGUCCUCCGUGUCCCUGCACAGUGCUGGAGGCCGCUGGCCUCUGUGCAAGAUGGGCAGGCCGGGCCCUUUUUGCUGCUGGUCUGCUGACACACACACACCCUGGGACUGUGGGCGAAACCCAGCCUAGUCACCGCGCAGAGCAAGGGUGUGGCAGAGCCUUGGCUGAUGUCUGCUGUCCCUGGAGAUGCUCUUGUUGUCUGGAAAGCACUUGCCACCUCGUCAGGCUCUGGAGCAGCACUGAGAUCCGGGGGAGCCGGCGUUGUGGAAGAGCAAGUUAAGCCUCCACCUGCGACACCAGCAUCCUGUGCUGGUUUGUGACGCAGCUGCUCCGCUUCCAAUCCAGCUCCCUGCUAAUAUGUCUGGAGAGCAGCAGAAGAUGGCCCAAAUGCUUGGGCCCCUGCCACCCACGGAGGAGACCAGGAUGGAGUUCCUGGCUCCUGGCUUCGAAUUAGCACACCUAGCCUGUCACAGCAACCCUGCAGUGGAGGCACUGGCGUCACCUCCAUUCUGCAAAUGAGACCCAGAGGGCAGUAUCUUGCUGCGCCCUCUCCCACGGCCAAUGUUGACCACUGGUCUCACAGGGCCACACAGACCUG